rnacentral:rRNA from 1 species
CCCCUGACGACCCGAGAGAUCGGGCGUUCCCCCUUCGGGGGGACAGGGUGACAGGUGGUGCAUGGUUGUCGUCAGCUCGUGUCGUGAGAUGUUGGGUUAAGUCCCGCAACGAGCGCAACCCUCGACCUUAGUUGCCAGCAUUCAGUUGGGCACUCUAAGGUGACUGCCGGCUAAAAGUCGGAGGAAGGUGGGGAUGACGUCAAAUCAUCAUGCCCCUUAUGACCUGGGCUACACACGUGCUACAAUGGGCGGUACAAAGGGUCGCGAACCCGCGAGGGGGAGCCAAUCCCAAAAAGCCGCUCUCAGUUCGGAUUGCAGGCUGCAACUCGCCUGCAUGAAGCCGGAAUCGCUAGUAAUCGCGGAUCAGCAUGCCGCGGUGAAUACGUUCCCGGGCCUU